AUGAACGCUAGCGACAGGCCUAACACAUGCAAGUCGAGGGCAGCACAAGGAGCAAUCUGAGGUGGCGACCGGCGCACGGGUGAGUAACACGUAUGCAACCUGCCUGUAAGCGGGGAAUAACCCGUUGAAAGACGGACUAAUACCGCAUAAUACUAAAUUACUGCAUGGUAAUUUAUUUAAACAUUUAUGGCUUACAGAUGGGCAUGCGCAUGAUUAGCUAGUUGGAGAGGUAACGGCUCCCCAAGGCAACGAUCAUUAGGGGUUCUGAGAGGAAGGUCCCCCACACUGGUACUGAGACACGGACCAGACUCCUACGGGAGGCAGCAGUGAGGAAUAUUGGUCAAUGGACGAGAGUCUGAACCAGCCAAGUCGCGUGCAGGAAGAAUGUCCCUAUGGAUUGUAAACUGCUUUUGCAGGGGAAUAAAGUGCAUCACGUGUGAUGUUUUGUAUGUACUCUGCGAAUAAGGAUCGGCUAACUCCGUGCCAGCAGCCGC
rnacentral:rRNA from 1 species